UCUCAUUCCACAAAAUGUUCUGAUUUGUGAAGAUAAUCGUGAAUGUUGAUGCCAUUAGCAAUUCUAUUUUGAAGAAGAAGAGGGAGAUCUGUCUGCAUCACAGAUCUGCAGAAGCACUCACCUCUGAAGGACAAACUACCAUGUCCCUUAUGCUGC